rnacentral:rRNA from 1 species
UAUUUUUGACUGUGCGAAGGUAGCGUAAUCAUUUGCUCUUUAAUUGGGGGCUGGAAUGAAUGGCAAGACAGGGGCUUGACUGUCUCUUCUUUAAUCUCUUGAAUUUUAUGUCGUUGUGAAGAAGCGAUGAUGGGGCCGUAAGACGAGAAGACCCUGUUGAGCUUUAUGUUGUGCGGUUUUUUGUGCGGAAGAGUUUAGGUGAUUAAUACUAGGUCUGAAAGGAUGAAGGUAGGUUUAAAUUUGAAUUCUGUAUAGGAAGUUGUGAUAGUAUUUGGUUGGGGCAAUCGCGGAGAAGAAGAAUCCUCCGUUGGAUGAGGGAGGAAAAAUUAUUAUUUUGUUGUGAUUGAAAGUUUGCUAAAAGAUCCAUUGAUAAUGAUUAAAGGAAUAAGUUACCACAGGGGUAACAGCGUUAUUUCCUUGGAGAGUUCGUAUUGAUAAGGGAGUUUGCGACC